rnacentral:rRNA from 1 species
ACGUAAUGCGAAUUGCAGGAUUCAGUGAGUCAUCGAAAUUUUGAACGCAUAUUGCACUUCCGGGUUAGUCCUGGGAGUAUGCCUGUAUCAGUGUCCGUA